rnacentral:rRNA from 1 species
AUCGAUGAAGAUGACGGCGAAAUGCGAUAAGUAAUGUGAAUUGCAGAAUUCAGUGAAUCAUCGAAUCUUUGAACGCACCUUGCGCUCCUUGGUAUUCCGAGGAGCAUGCCUGUUUGAGUGUCAUUAAAUUCUCAACCUUUCCAGCUUUUAACGGCGGGACAAGGCUUGGAUGUGGGGGCUGCGGGCUUCUCAGAAGUCGGCUCUCCUUAAAUGUAUUAGCGAAACCUUUGCUGACCAUCUUUGGUGUGAUAAUUAUCUACGCCACUGGGAAGCAGCUUUAACAUGGGGUUUGGCUUCUAAUCGUCCGUCACUGGACAACUUUUUGACAUUUUGACCUCAAAUCAGGUAGGACUACCCGCUGAACUUAAGCAUAUCAAUAAGCGGAGGAAAAGAAACUAACAAGGAUUCCCCUAGUAACUGCGAGUGAAGCGGGAAAAGCUCAAAUUUAAAAUCUGGUGGUCCUUGUGGCCGUCCGAGUUGUAAUCUAGAGAAGCGUUAUCCGCGCCGGACCGUGUACAAGUCUCCUGGAACGGAGCGUCAUAGAGGGUGAGAAUCCCGUCUUUGACACGGACUACCGGGGCUUUGUGAUGCGCUCUCAAAGAGUCGAGUUGUUUGGGAAUGCAGCUCUAAAUGGGUGGUAAAUUCCAUCUAAAGCUAAAUAUUGGCGAGAGACCGAUAGCGAACAAGUACCGUGAGGGAAAGAUGAAAAGAACUUUGGAAAGAGAGUUAAACAGUACGUGAAAUUGUUGAAAGGGAAACGCUUGAAGUCAGUCGCGUUGGCCGGGGAUCAACCUUGCUCUUUUGCUUGGCGUACUUUCCGGUCGACGGGUCAGCAUCAAUUUUGACCGGUGGAUAAAGGUCAGGGGAAUGUGGCAUCUUCGGAUGUGUUAUAGCCCUUGGUCGCAUGCAUCGAUUGGGAUUGAGGAACUCAGCACGCCGCAAGGCCGGGUUUUUAACCACGUACGUGCUUAGGAUGCUGGCAUAAUGGCUUUAAUCGACCCGUCUUGAAACACGG